rnacentral:sRNA from 1 species
GCUGGGUGCGGUGGCGAACACCUGUAAUCCCAGAGGCUCGGGAGACUGAGGCAGGAGGAUCUCGAGUUCAAAACCAGCCUCAACAAAGGUGAGGCACUAAGCAACUCAGUGGGACCCUGUCUCUA